AACCUCAGACAGAUAUAAAUACACUGCAAAAAACCAUAGCCUCUGUAUUUGGUUUGAGUACAGCAGAGGAAUCAUGAGCUGUUUUUUUCUUCUUCUGAUAUCAUCUGUUCCCUAUGUUCAUGGCAUCAGUCUGACCUCGUCUCCUGCUGAGGUUAAACCACCUGGGGCCUCUGUGAAACUGUCCUGUCAGAUUUCUGGCUAUGCCCUCACUGACUAUGGCACAGGCUGGAUCCGACAGCCUCCAGGAAAAGGCUUGGAGUGGAUUGGGAUCAUAUGGGGUGGUGGAAGCAUAGACUCUGGAUCUUCCUUUAAAACUCGUUUCAGCAUCUCCAGAGACACGAGUAACAACGUGCUUUACUUAGAUAUCAAUAGCCUGGUGCCAGAAGACACGGCUGUUUAUUAUUGUGCAAAGACCCACAGUGGUACAACCUGUAAGAGGACUGUACAAAAACAUUGUUUUGUUUUGUAAAGGGGAGGGGUAAACAUUUAAAUAUGUUAUACACACCUUACAUUUUU